UGGGGAAUAUUGCACAAUGGGCGCAAGCCUGAUGCAGCCAUGCCGCGUGUGUGAAGAAGGCCUUCGGGUUGUAAAGCACUUUCAGCGAGGAGGAAGGUGGUGGACUUAAUACGUUCAUCAAUUGACGUUACUCGCAGAAGAAGCACCGGCUAACUCCGUGCCAGCAGCCGCGGUAAUACGGAGGGUGCAAGCGUUAAUCGGAAUUACUGGGCGUAAAGCGCACGCAGGCGGUUUGUUAAGUCAGAUGUGAAAUCCCCGGGCUCAACCUGGGAACUGCAUUUGAAACUGGCAAGCUAGAGUCUCGUAGAGGGGGUAGAAUUCCAGGUGUAGCGGUGAAAUGCGUAGAGAUCUGGAGGAAUACCGGUGGCGAAGGCGGCCCCCUGGACG
rnacentral:rRNA from 1 species